GACGAACGCUGGCGGCGUGCCUAAUACAUGCAAGUUGAGCGCUGAAGGUUGGUCCUUGUACCAACUGGAUGAGCAGCGAACGGGUGAGUAACGCGUGGGGAAUCUGCCUUUGAGCGGGGGACAACAUUUGGAAACGAAUGCUAAUACCGCAUAAAAACUUUAAACACAAGUUUUAAGUUUGAAAGAUGCAAUUGCAUCACUCAAAGAUGAUCCCGCGUUGUAUUAGCUAGUUGGUGAGGUAAAGGCUCACCAAGGCGAUGAUACAUAGCCGACCUGAGAGGGUGAUCGGCCACAUUGGGACUGAGACACGGCCCAAACUCCUACGGGAGGCAGCAGGAGGGAAUCUUCGGCAAUGGACGAAAGUCUGACCGAGCAACGCCGCGUGAGUGAAGAAGGGUUUCGGAUCGUAAAACUCGGUUGGUAGAGAAGAACGUUGGUGAGAGUGGAAAGCUCAUCAAGUGACGGUAACUACCCAGAAAGGGACGGCUAACUACGUG
rnacentral:rRNA from 1 species